UAGUCCGCUCAGCCAUCUCUCC
rnacentral:tRNA from 1 species